rnacentral:rRNA from 1 species
UACAGAGGUCCCAAGCGUUGUUCGGAAUUACUGGGCGUAAAGCGCACGUAGGCGGCUUUGUAAGUUAGAGGUGAAAGCCCAGGGCUUAACCCUGGAAUUGCCUUUAAGACUGCAUCGCUAGAAUCGUGGAGAGGUGAGUGGAAUUCCGAGUGUAGAGGUGAAAUUCGUAGAUAUUCGGAAGAACACCAGUGGCGAAGGCGACUCACUGGACACGUAUUGACGCUGAGGUGCGAAAGCGUGGGGAGCAAACAGG